rnacentral:rRNA from 1 species
UUAGGAAUAUUGCGCAAUGGGCGAAAGCCUGACGCAGCGAUGCCGCGUGGGUGAUGAAGGCCUUCGGGUCGUAAAGCCCUUUUCUGGGGGAAGAGCGAGGACGGUACCCCAGGAAUAAGUCUCGGCUAACUACGUGCCAGCAGCCGCGGUAAACGUAGGAGGCUAGCGUUAUCCGGAUUUACUGGGCGUAAAGCGCGCGUAGGUGGCUUUGUAAGUCAGGCGUGAAAUCUCUCGGCUCAACUGGGAGGGGUCGUCUGAGACUGCAAGGCUUGAGGGCGGGAGAGGGAAGUGGAAUUCCCGGUGUAGCGGUGGAAUGCGCAGAUAUCGGGAGGAACACCAGUGGCGAAGGCGGCUUCCUGGCCCGUUCCUGACACUCAAGUGCGAAAGCGUGGGGAGCGAACGG